ACAUACAUCAGUGGCCUCAGCUCUUAUCUAGCCCCUGCCAAGCUGCACCUUGCUUUCUUUCCUGUUUAAGAUGGAAUUCAGAUGACCUUGGCCUUCUAUGAAAUUAACCUCACGCCAAGAAAGUGCUCAUUCGUUCAGCCCUGUGACAUCAUAGAUGCCUGUCCCUGCCAGGCGCUGUGCCUGGAGUCCAGAAACAAGAAGGCAGUCAUGUGUGGGGCUCAGAUGGGUGAGCUGUGGUCAUAAACACCUGAGAUCUACGUCCAACACCAGCAUGCUCCAGCUGUGGGACUUCUGGUUCAAAACCUUCCGAGCAUCUAUUUCCUCAUCUGUAAAAUAAGAUUAUGACGACUACCCAUACCUUUUUUUUUUUUUCUCCUGUAAUUUAGUUUUCAGAGAGAAUUUUUUGGGUGAGUGUUUACUUAAUAAUACCUCCUUGGACGCCUGGGUGGCUCAAUCGCCAAGCAUCUGACUUUGGCUCAGGUCGUGGUCUCACGGUUCAUGAGUGCGAGCCCUGGAUCAGAAUGCAAACAGAUUGGAUACAGUUCAAAGACUGGGCAGCAAAACAUAAUUAAGAAGUGACUGACUUAUGGGAAAAGAUGAAAAGAGCUCCAACUCCGAAAGCCAUGUUGCAGAAACCCCUGGAAGGAGGUGAUCACCAUUUCCAAGCAUGGAAAUUCAGGAAAUAAAAGACGAGGAGAGGAACUUCUGGGAGAGGGGCAGGAGUUCAAAAGAGGGUGUUGCAUGAGAACCUACUAGAAUGGGUAAGAUUGGCCCUGCCCCAGGAGGUGAAUGAGUAUACACAGUGUCUGUGAUAAAUCACAGUUGAAUGGAGAACCGUGAUUUGAAGGGAAGAGAAUGCACAUUUCCUCUGAGGCUAAACACCAGCACCACCAAAAAGCCCAUCAUUUAGAGUGGGGGUCAGCCAACUUUUUCCGUGAGAAGCAUGGAUCAUAAAUGUUCUCGGCCGUGUGGCCCUCCGGGCUCUGUGUCACCUGCUCUACUCUGCCUUUGUUGGCUGAAAGCAGUCAUAGAUGAUAUGUAAAUAAUACGCGUGGCUGUGUUUCAAUAAAACUUUAUUGACAAAGACAGUGCUCAGGAA